rnacentral:rRNA from 1 species
CCUACGGGAGGCAGCAGUGGGGAAUCUUGCGCAAUGGGGGAAACCCUGACGCAGCGACGCCGCGUGGAGGAUGAAGGCCUUCGGGUUGUAAACUCCUGUCAGAGGGGACGAAAUCCCGCAAGGGACUGACGGUACCCUCAGAGGAAGCCCCGGCUAACUACGUGCCAGCAGCCGCGGUAAUACGUAGGGGGCAAGCGUUACUCGGAAUUACUGGGCGUAAAGGGUGAGUAGGCGGCUGGGCAAGUCAAGGAUGAAAUCCCGAGGCUCAACUUCGGAACUGUCCUUGAAACUGCUCAGCUUGAGGGUAGUUGAGGAGAGCGGAAUUCCCGGUGGAGCGGUGAAAUGCGUAGAUAUCGGGGAGGAACACCAGAGGCGAAGGCGGCUCUCUAAGCUACUCUGACGCUGAAUCACGAAAGCUAGGGGAGCAAACG